GGUGGCUCAGUGGUAGAGCGCCUGCCUUGCAUGCAUGAGGCCCUGGGUUCAAUUCCUCAGCACCA
rfam:Dipodomys ordii contig_33431, whole genome shotgun sequence.